GAUGAACGCUGGCGGCGUGGCUAAGGCAUGCAAGUCAAGGGGUCCAGUUAACGCAAGUUAACCAGACAACCGGCGGACGAGUUAGUAACACGUGGGCACUAACCUUAAAGACGGGCAUAAUCCCGCGAAAGCGGGACUAAUUCCCGAUAGUCCCUGAGAGCAAUCGAAGGGUAAAGGAGAAAUCCGCUUUAGGAUCGGCCCGCGGCCUGUCAGCUAGUUGGUGGGGUAAUGGCCUACCAAGGCGACGACGGGUAGGGGAAGUGAGAGCUUGUUCCCCAACGAUGGGACUGAGACACGGCCCAU
rnacentral:rRNA from 1 species